UCUCCCCUACGGGGGGCAGCAGUGGGGGAUAUUGCACAAUGGGGGGAACCCUGAUGCAGCGACGCCGCGUGGGUGAAGAAGUAUUUCGGUAUGUAAAGCCCUAUCGGCAGGGAAGAAAUUGGACGGUACCUGACUAAGAAGCCCUGGCUAACUACGUGCCAGCAGCCGCGGUAAUACGUAGGGGGCAAGCGUUAUCCGGAUUCACUGGGUGUAAAGGGAGCGUAGACGGCCAUGCAAGCCUGGAGUGAAAGCCCGGGGCCCAACCCCGGGACGCCCUUGGGAAC
rnacentral:rRNA from 1 species